UCUGAUGGGAUAUCACCCUAAGCCCUGAUG
rnacentral:piRNA from 1 species